rnacentral:rRNA from 1 species
UACUCUUUCGGGAGGCAGCAGUGGGUAAUUUUGGACAAUGGGGGGAACCCUGAUCCAGCCAUGCCGCGUGAGUGAAGAAGGCCUUCGGGUUGUAAAGCUCUUUCGGCCGGGAAGAAAUCGCGCACUCUAACAUAGUGCGUGAUGACGA